AGCGAACGCUGGCGGCAGGCCUAACACAUGCAAGUCGAACGAACUCUUCGGAGUUAGUGGCGGACGGGUGAGUAACACGUGGGAACGUGCCUUUUGGUUCGGAAUAACUCAGGGAAACUUGUGCUAAUACCGAAUGUGCCCUUCGGGGGAAAGAUUUAUCGCCAUUAGAGCGGCCCGCGUCUGAUUAGCUAGUUGGUGAGGUAACGGCUCACCAAGGCGACGAUCAGUAGCUGGUCUGAGAGGAUGACCAGCCACACUGGGACUGAGACACGGCCCAGACUCCUACGGGAAGCAGCAGUGGGGAAUCUUGCGCAAUGGGCGAAAGCCUGACGCAGCCAUGCCGGGUGAAUGAUGAAGGUCUUAGGAUUGUAAAAUUCUUUCACCGGGGACGAUAAUGACGGUACCCGGAGAAGAAGCCCCGGCUAACUUCGUG
rnacentral:rRNA from 1 species